GAGCAGAGCCUGCCUUCUGCGCGCGCCCGACUCCGCUGCUCCCUCCCCCUCCGGCCUCCGAGAGGUGGGGGCUGGGAGGCGUCCCCCGUCCCCGUCCCCUCCUCCUCCCCACCGUGCACCGAAAGAUGAACUGGCGAGAGGUCUGUUUUGCCUGAACCCAUCAACAACUGGGAGAUUAAUCAACCACACUGAAAAUGUGGAGGGAUAUAUGAGGGAGGGGGUUGACAUGUAGAUGUUUGAAACAAACGUGUAUAAAUAAAAGAAUUGUUGAUAAUGUAGUUAUUGACCUGGAGACUGGUAGCUUAUUGAAGAAACUCCAUGUUACUCGUUCCGGGAGUUGGGGGUUUCUGUAGGCACUUAAUUUCUCCACUUUCAAGAGCUUGGGCUUGGCCCAAAUCUUAGACUGCCCAAUCCUGUCUCUAUUACAAAUUUAAAUCUAUGGCUUGAACCUGUGCAUUGAAAAUCAGAUCUAUUCCCUUUAAAAAGAAGGAGGAGGAGAAGAAGAAGCAAAAACACUUAUUAGAAGCCCUAGCCAUUUUUGUUUGUUUUCUGUUUUGUUGCAGUCCAUUGAAGACUUUGAACAUGCCACCUUAAUAAAUGUAUUAAAAUUGAAAAAAGAAGUUAAA